CGGGGCCAGGCGGGCAGGGUGAGCUCGUGCACCAGGGGUGGGCAGUGCCCCACCGCCCCGCCCCCAGGAAGGAGGAAGCAAAAGCAGAACCUCUCAGGCUACUUGGACCUUUCUGCAGAAAACAGUGUCCGGAACUCUUAGAGAAAGGCCUUCUUCUUUCACAUUAGCGAUGCAUCUCUGAUGAGGCUCAGAGAAGCAGGCGAGGGAGCUUCUGAGUGGAGGAAUUGAGCAGAGAGGCCGGUGUUUGCCAAGGGAACCGAGGGGAGUUGUGGCUGGCCGAGCUGAAGCAGAACAGCUGGCCUCUGGAACUUUCCCUCAGACUCAGCGGCUCCGGAAACGUUUGGGGGCAGUGAGCGGCGAGGAGGCCGCUCCUUCGUUCAGGACAGUUUGUCACACGCAGAGCUGCCUGGGGAUGGCUGCUCUGGUCCCUGUGGCCCCUCAGAAGCCGACCAGGCUCCCAGCUGGAGGGAGGGGAACUGGAACCCAUUUUUGAAACCCUGAAUCUCUCUGCACCAGCAAGCUGGAGUGCGACAAGGUAGAAAUGAAGCUGUUUUCCUUCCCAAAUUAAUAUGAAACAAGGAGCAGCUUAAUUGUACUUUGGGUUUAAACCAGUUCCUCAGUUGCCAUAGUAACCCAGAAAAGGCAUUUAAAAAUAUAUUCCAUCUGA